GCAUCGGUCGCCGAUUGGUAACGGCAGGCAGUCUGUAAAAUUGCCGCUUCUUCAAGCUGUGAAAGUUCAAAUCUUUCCCGAUGCACCA
rnacentral:tRNA from 1 species